rnacentral:lncRNA from 1 species
CAUGAUGGGUGUUUUCAGGGGGUGGGACCGGAGACUCGAGCCCGGGUCCUCCGGAGUGGGGGGCCGAGGCGUUUCCACGCGGCUAAUCCGGCCGAUGCCUGCAAGUAACAGUCUCCCGAGCUUGGACAUUCUUCUGUGUGAGCUCGAAGUUUGCGGAGAUCCUCGAUCUUCGUUACCUCUACAGAGACCCCAUUGUUCCGAACCACUCGGACGUUACGGAUUUCGAUCCCCAACUUCAUCGGGUUAAUGUGCGUCUUUAGCACACUUUUCAUUUAGUCUGCAGUAGCCUCCAUCUUUUUGGAAAUACCAAAAAUAAAUGUUCCUCUUUUGAAACGGGUCACUUUCUGCGAGGUUUCUUAGAUUUCCUUUAGCUGCUUGGGGAGCACGUUUUGCCAAUGCCCAGGCAAAGUUGGGUUCCUUCGAAAAGCACCCUAGCCUUCAAUUUCUGGAUUUUGGACGUUUCUGUCCUUACCUUUUUCUUCCCAGCCUUGUUUGGAAUCUGUUGUACGGGGAGUAGAUGACGUUCCACAAUCAGCUUGCGGAGCGAGGCAACUCCACGCUGUGGGCAAGGACCAUCCUUGAGAAGUGGCUGAAGAUCAACACGAUCUCGGCCGCAACAUUUUCCAGACUAUUUUGUGAGGGGGGACCGAUUUUGUGACCAGAAGGGGUAUCGGAUGAACCCGCUAUUGACAGUCUAGUCAUAGGUUGCGAAGAGGAGAAGGUGAAUGGAAGGACUAUUAUCAGAAAGUAAAAAGCACCGAAAAUAUAUUAUUAGAAAAAGAAGGCAUUCUUGAUUC